AUCUACUAAGGGCUGUUGAUCAGAACAUUCAGGAAAAAAAAAAAAAUUUUCAUUGAAUCCGAAUUUCUUAUGGCAGUUCAAAUAAUCCCCAAAGAAUCAGUGUUCUUAGCCAUGCAACUUCUGCAUUGAUCGUGCUGAGGCGCAUCUCGAAACUCGUCCAAUGAGUUUAUUUUGGCUGGCCAGAGAGAGUGUCAAAGAUCUGCUUGGAAGUUGGGAAACAGCCCUUUUAAAGCUUGACGAUGCAUUCUAUGGAACUUACUCGCAUUAGCUUUGUGCUGGGAUAUAUGGACGGAGAGAAAUAGACGUAGCCUUGUGUUGGGAUAUAUGAAUGGAGAGAAAUAGAUGUACAUUCAGAGGUGAGGAAUCCUCAAUUUUGAAGAUUCUGUCCUGGUGAAAGAGUGUAUCCGUUUUUUCACCUCCUUGAUCAUUUAAAGAGUAUGUUUAAGCCUCCCCAACGUGUAUGUGGUGUACAAGGAGUGUGAGAAAUUAAUGUGUAGUUUUCUUUCCUGCA